rnacentral:tRNA from 1 species
GGGCGGUUAGCUCAGUUGGUAGAGCAGGAGACUUUUAAUCUCUUGGUCCGGGGUUCGAGUCCCCGACCGCCUACCA